rnacentral:rRNA from 1 species
UACAGAGGGGGCAAGCGUUGUUCGGAAUUACUGGGCGUAAAGGGCGCGUAGGUGGCCUUCUAAGUUGAACGUGAAAUCCCUGGGCUCAACCCAGGAACUGCGUCCAAGACUGGGAGGCUUGAAUCCGGGAGAGGGAUGCGGAAUUCCAGGUGUAGCGGUGAAAUGCGUAGAGAUCGGGAAGAACAUCGGUGGCGAAGGCGGCCUGCUGGGCUGUAGCUGACGCUGAGGCGCGACAGCGUGGGGAGCAAACAGG